rnacentral:rRNA from 1 species
UGGGGAAUUUUGGACAAUGGGCGAAAGCCUGAUCCAGCAAUGCCGCGUGUGUGAAGAAGGCCUUCGGGUUGUAAAGCACUUUUGUCCGGAAAGAAAUCCUUGGCUCUAAUACAGUCGGGGGAUGACGGUACCGGAAGAAUAAGCACCGGCUAACUACGUGCCAGCAGCCGCGGUAAUACGUAGGGUGCAAGCGUUAAUCGGAAUUACUGGGCGUAAGGCGUGCGCAGGCGGUUUGCUAAGACCGAUGUGAAAUCCCCGGGCUCAACCUGGGAACUGCAUUGGUGACUGGCAGGCUAGAGUAUGGCAGAGGGGGGUAGAAUUCCACGUGUAGCAGUGAAAUGCGUAGAGAUGUGGAGGAAUACCGAUGGCGAAGGCAGCCCCCUGGGCCAAUACUGACGCUCAUGCACGAAAGCGUGGGGAGCAAACAGGAUUAGAUACCCUGGUAGUCCACGCCCUAAACGAUGUCAACUAGUUGUUGGGGAUUCAUUUCCUUAGUAACGUAGCUAACGCGUGAAGUUGACCGCCUGGGGAGUACGGUCGCAAGAUUAAAACUCAAAUGAAUUGACGGGGUCAUAGCUGUUUCCU